CUGCAGAGUUACCUGCUGCCUUUGACAGAGGGACAAUAAAUGCCCAACUCCAUCUGUGUCUUUCCAGCAGUUAAGACCAAUUGAGUUCAAUGAGAUAUACAGUUAAGAGAGGCAUGGGGAAGAGGAAGCACUGGGAAUAUCUUGGCCAACUGGAAGAUGGCAAGAUAAGAACUGGAAGGAAGCGCUUGGAAGCAGCAAGAAACAGCCGCAGAACUGGAAGGCGUGAAAGAAGGAACUUGGGACUGAAAACACUGCAUGGGGAAAAAGGAAAGCGAGGGUGUUCUGUGCUCCUCUUUUACACCUACUGUAUGUCAAAGAAAUUGCUAUGCAGAGUUACACAUUCUGUGAACACAAAAGAGGCACCAAUCAGCCAAAACAUAUGAGUCACUUCACAAAAAUACCCACAUUAGCAUGAACUCCAGCAAAUCCCCAAGUGCUCAAUCACAUCCAGUCAGCUCUCCACACAGUUACGUGUCAAGUAACCUUUCCAAGCAAAAAGAAAAACCAGAGUUUUUGAAAAGACAGCUGUAGCUUACUGCUUUGCUAAUUUGACUAAAAACCUUUCUGCAUAUGCUGAGAUGGUGGGUCUGUUUAAGAUAAAUGCAGUUUCCUGUCCCA